rnacentral:tRNA from 7 species
UCGGGAUAGCUCAGUUGGUAGAGCAGAGGACUGAAAAUCCUCGUG